ensembl:miRNA MIR9837 microRNA mir-9837
UUAAAGGACAUCACUAUUUAGGUCGUUGGGUUAUAGGUGGGUGAUGGAGCAAUGGCCGUGGGUGGAGUGGUCCAGGAA